rnacentral:tRNA from 1 species
AUUAAAGUGGCAGAAAUUUUAAUGCAAGGAAUUUAAGCUUCCUUUAUGAGUAAUUUCCUUUAAUA